rnacentral:rRNA from 1 species
GACCAAGGAGUCUAACAUGUAUGCGAGUCAUUGAGAAUUAUUAAACUCAAAGGCAUAAUGAAAGUAAAGAUCCAAUUAUAUGGAUAUGAGGAGAGAUCAUGCAGAAUUUUAAUAGAUUGAAAAAUUUAUUGAAUAAAGUAUGCGCAUCUCCGGGACGUUUUAACCUCUGAAGGUAGGGCGUACCUAGAGCAUACACGUUGGGACCCGAAAGAUGGUGAACUAUGCCUGGUCAGAACGAAGUCAGGGGAAACCCUGAUGGAGGUUCGUAGCGAUUCUGACGUGCAAAUCGAUCGUCGGAACUGGGUAUAGGGGCGAAAGACUAAUCGAACCAUCUAGUAGCUGGUUCCCUCUGAAGUUUCCCUUAGGAUAGCUGGCGCUUAUGUUAAACAGUCUCAUCCGGUAAAGCGAAUGAUUAGAGGCCUUGGGGCCGAAACGACCUCAACCUAUUCUCAAACUUUAAAUGGGUGAGAGGUUGAACUUGCUUGAUUGAAGUUUAACAAUGGAUGGUGAGUGCCAAGUGGGCCACUCUU